UUGUGAACUUUUUUAAAAUCUCGAUUUUUUCCUUUUGUCAGUUGUUUUCGUUUUAAUUUUUUCCUCUCUUUCUUUGAAGUCAAUGGUUGACCAGUCACUGGUCAAUCGCGACCGUACAAACUGCCAUUUUUUUAGACAACCGUACAAACAGCCUCGAGGCUCGAGCGUGCGAGCGACCAGGCAUGGCUCGCCACAUGGGCGGGCCCACGAUUUGGCGGCUGUGAGCGCCAACUAGGAGGAGCACCCGAGGAGGUCUCCCCGUUUGGAUUGCAUUCUUGCAAGUUGUCUUGUUCAGGAGAGGCGGCACAAGAGCAUAUUUUGGGCCGGGCUAUUUCAUGGGCUUGAUUCAUAACCUUGGCAGGCCAACCAUGAAAAAGUAGAAAAGUACGAGACCACAGUGAAAGUUUAUUUCGGUUCGUUUUGUUUCCCGGUCGCGUCGGCGUCAUUCUCUGCGGGGUUCAGUCCAGUGGCGCGAACGCCGUGGCGGCGUCGCAUCUUGUCCUCUCCACUGGCGUAUGGAGUCGAGUCUCCGCCGCCGCAGACAUAUGGAGGUGAGCCGUGGACACCUCCUCCUGCUGCUUUGCCCCUGCAAAACCUACGAGCGCUCUCGUGUCCCGAACGAUGACCGAAGGGAGCUCCAGCGUCAUCCACCACGUGUUCGACGGAAUGCCCACACAGAUUUCUGAGGAUCGGUAGAUUCUUGAAAGGCGCCACUACGAAUUUGGAGUUCUUCCCUCUCUUGGUGUUAAACUUGGCAUUGCCUAAUCUUUGUUGGUGCUGUUUGUUGACGGAGAAUCCAAUAGAUACUUUUCUCAAGGAUCAUGGCCUAUAUAUCUCCUAACUGAGAGAAAAAUUCAGCAGUGGAAAAGAGAAGGAUACUCUGGAGCUGCCUUUCUAAGGAAGGUAAAAGAGAAUGAUAGUUUCUUGACUUGAGUGCCAUUGACCAGCACAAGUCACUACAUACUAUUCUCCGCAAUCAAAUUUCCACAAUUCUGCAUGUCAUUUCCUGUAAAAUGACUCUGGUACUUUAUCCUGCACUCAGCUAGCAGGUAUUAUUGGUUGCUGGAAUCCUAAAGAACGUGGUCAUGUUUGACAAUAGUGUAUAUUCUCGUUUUAUUCCUGAAGUUUUAAUAGCUAA